GACGAACGCUGGCGGCGUGCUUAACACAUGCAAGUCGAACGGAAAGGCCCUGCUUUUGUGGGGUGCUCGAGUGGCGAACGGGUGAGUAACACGUGAGUAACCUGCCCUUGACUUUGGGAUAACUUCAGGAAACUGGGGCUAAUACCGGAUAGGAGCUCCUGCUGCAUGGUGGGGGUUGGAAAGUUUCGGCGGUUGGGGAUGGACUCGCGGCUUAUCAGCUUGUUGGUGGGGUAGUGGCUUACCAAGGCUUUGACGGGUAGCCGGCCUGAGAGGGUGACCGGCCACAUUGGGACUGAGAUACGGCCCAGACUCCUACGGGAGGCAGCAGUGGGGAAUAUUGCACAAUGGGCGGAAGCCUGAUGCGGCAACGCCGCGUGCGGGAUGACGGCCUUCGGGUUGUAAACCGCUUUCGCCUGUGACGAAGCGUGAGUGGCGGUAAUGGGUAAAGAGGCACCGGCUAACUACGUG
rnacentral:rRNA from 1 species